rnacentral:rRNA from 1 species
GGGAGGGGAGCGUUGUNUCGGAANAUUGGGCGUUAAGGGCUCGCAGGCGGUUUCUUAAGUCUGAUGUGAAAGCCCCCGGCUCAACCGGGGAGGGUCAUUGGAAACUGGGGAACUUGAGUGCAGAAGAGGAGAGUGGAAUUCCACGUGUAGCGGUGAAAUGCGUAGAGAUGUGGAGGAACACCAGUGGCGAAGGCGACUCUCUGGUCUGUAACUGACGCUGAGGAGCGAAAGCGUGGGGAGCGAACAGGAUUAGAUACCCCAGUAGUCAAA